AGAGUUUGAUCAUGGCUCAGGAUGAACGCUAGCGGCAGGCUUAAUACAUGCAAGUCGAGGGGCAGCAUGACUGUAGCAAUACAGUUGAUGGCGACCGGCAAACGGGUGCGGAACACGUACAGAACCUUCCUUCGAGCGGGGAAUAGCCCAGAGAAAUUUGGAUUAAUACCCCAUAGUACAACGGAGUGGUAUCACUUUGUUGUUAAAGAUUUAUCACUUGAAGAUGGCUGUGCGGCUGAUUAGGUAGUUGGCGGGGUAACGGCCCACCAAGCCUGCGAUCAGUAACUGGUGUGAGAGCACGACCAGUCACACGGGCACUGAGACACGGGCCCGACUCCUACGGGAGGCAGCAGUAAGGAAUAUUGGUCAAUGGACGAAAGUCUGAACCAGCCAUGCCGCGUGGAGGAUGAAGGUCCUCUGGAUUGUAAACUUCUUUUAUAUGGGACGAAAAAAGGGUUUUCUAACUCGUCUGACGGUACCAUAUGAAUAAGCACCGGCUAACUCCGUG
rnacentral:rRNA from 1 species